rnacentral:rRNA from 1 species
GGAGGUAUGUGGUUUAAUUCGAUGCAACGCGAAGAACCUUACCUGGUCUUGACAUCCCGGAGACCCUUAGGAAACUAGGGGUGCUUCCAUCUGGAAGAAUCUGGAGACAGGUGCUGCAUGGCUGUCGUCAGCUCGUGUCGUGAGAUGUUGGGUUAAGUCCCGCAACGAGCGCAACCCUUGCCUUUAGUUGCCAGCAGUUCGGCUGGGCACUCUAAAGGGACUGCCGGUGUUAAACCGGAGGAAGGUGGGGAUGACGUCAAGUCCUCAUGGCCUUUAUGACCAGGGCUACACACGUACUACAAUGGCCGGUACAGAGCGCAGCGAGGCCGCGAGGCGGAGCGAAUCGCUUAAAGCCGGUCCCAGUACGGAUUGGAGUCUGCAACCCGACUCCAUGAAGUUGGAAUCGCUAGUAAUCGCGCAUCAGCAUGGCGCGGUGAAUACGUUCCCGGGCCUU